rnacentral:tRNA from 1 species
CGGGGCGUAGCGCAGUCUGGUAGCGUACAUGCAUGGGGUGCAUGUGGUCGGAGGUUCAAAUCCUCUCGCCCCGACCA